rnacentral:tRNA from 1 species
GGGCGCAUAAGGCGGCAGCCUUCUAAGCUGCAGAUCGGGGGUUCAAAUCCUCCCGGGUCCA